AGAGCGUUGCCGCACUCGGGAACGGGACCGCUCAUCGCGGUCGCGAUCGGUUCCAUCGCCGGCAUGUUCGUC
rnacentral:tRNA from 1 species